GAUGAACGCUGGCGGCGUGCCUAAUACAUGCAAGUCGAGCGAACGGACGAGAAGCUUGCUUCUCUGAUGUUAGCGGCGGACGGGUGAGUAACACGUGGAUAACCUACCUAUAAGACUGGGAUAACUUCGGGAAACCGGAGCUAAUACCGGAUAAUAUUUUGAACCGCAUGGUUCAAAAGUGAAAGACGGUCUUGCUGUCACUUAUAGAUGGAUCCGCGCUGCAUUAGCUAGUUGGUAAGGUAACGGCUUACCAAGGCAACGAUGCAUAGCCGACCUGAGAGAGUGAUCGGCCACACUGGAACUGAGACACGGGCCAGACUCCUACGGGAGGCAGCAGUAGGGAAUCUUCCGCAAUGGGCGAAAGCCUGACGGAGCAACGCCGCGUGAGUGAUGAAGGUCUUCGGAUCGUAAAACUCUGUUAUUAGGGAAGAACAUAUGUGUAAGUAACUGUGCACAGCUUGACGGUACCUAAUCAGAAAGCCACGGCUAACUACGUG
rnacentral:rRNA from 1 species